UGUCUUGAAACACGGACCAAGGAGUCAAGGUUCUGCGCGAGUGUCUGGGUGCCAAGCCCGUGCGCGUAAUGAAAGUGAGCAGGGGCGGGAGCCCCCCGGGGCGCACCGCCGACCGAUCCCGACGUGCUCCGACGGAUUUGAGUAGGAGCGUCGAGCCUUGGACCCGAAAGAUGGUGAACUAUGCCUGGAUAGGGUGAAGCCAGAGGAAACUCUGGUGGAGGCUCGCAGCGGUUCUGACGUGCAAAUCGAUCGUCGAAUCUGGGCAUGGGGGCGAAAGACCAAUCGAACCAUCUAGUAGCUGGUUGCCGCCGAAGUUUCCCUCAGGAA
rnacentral:rRNA from 1 species